GACGAACGCUGGCGGCGUGCUUAACACAUGCAAGUCGAACGAAUUGGCGAACUGGUGAGUAACGCGUAAUCAACCUGCCCUUCAGCGGGGGACAACAGUUGGAAACGACUGCUAAUACCGCAUACUGAAGGAGGGGAUUGCGUCUGAUUAGCUAGUUGGAGGGGGAACGGCCCACCAAGGCGAUGAUCAGUAGCCCGGCUGAGAGGAUGAACGGCAACAUUGGGAUUGAGACACGGCCCAGACUCCGACGGGAGGAAGCAGUGGGGAAUAUUGGACAAUGGGCGAAAGCCUGAUCCAGCCAUGCCGCGUGUGUGAAGAAGGUCUUCGGAGUGUAGAGCACUUUAAGUUGGGAGGCGGUAACAACAGAAUAAGCACCGGCUAACUACGUGCCAGCAGCCGCGGUAAUAC
rnacentral:rRNA from 1 species